UGGACCUCGGAUCAGGUAGGGAUACCCGCUGAACUUAAGCAUAUCAAUAAGCGGAGGA
rnacentral:rRNA from 6 species